rnacentral:rRNA from 1 species
GAUGAACGCUAGCGGCAGGCUUAACACAUGCAAGUCGAGAGGCAGCGCGAUGUAGCAAUACAUUGGCGGCGACCGGCGCACGGGUGCGUAACACGUAUGGAAUCUGCCCUUUACUGGGGGAUAGCCCGGAGAAAUCCGGAUUAAUACCCCAUAAUAAUCGAGGUGGCAUCACCUUGAUUCGAAAGCUCCGCCGGUAAAGGAUGACCAUGCGCACGAUUAGCUAGUUGGUGGGGUAACGGCUCACCAAGGCUACGAUCGUUAGGGGGCCUGAGAGGGUUAGCCCCCACACUGGUACUGAGACACGGACCAGACUCCUACGGGAGGCAGCAGUGAGGAAUAUUGCGCAAUGGAGGCAACUCUGACGCAGCCAUGCCGCGUGCAGGAAGAAGGCGCUACGCGUUGUAAACUGCUUUUAACCGGGAAGAAACCCCAGGACGUGUCCUGGGUUGACGGUACCGGAGGAAUAAGCACCGGCUAACUUCGUACCAGCCGCCGCGGUAAUAC